rnacentral:rRNA from 1 species
UACGUAGGGGGCAAGCGUUGUCCGGAUUUAUUGGGCGUAAAGAGCUCGUAGGCGGCUCAGCAAGUCGGGUGUGAAACCUCCAGGCUCAACCUGGAGACGCCACCUGAUACUGCUGUGGCUAGAGUUCGGUAGGGGAGUGUGGAAUUCCUGGUGGAGCGGUGAAAUGCGCAGAUAUCAGGAGGAACACCCGUAGCGAAGGCGGCACUCUGGGCCGGAACUGACGCUGAGGAGCGAAAGCGUGGGGAGCGAACAGG